GCACACUAUGGUGGUGGGAUGUUACUAACAAGCAUAAACAGACACCUAGGCGAUCAGAUACGGCGACUGUGCAAGUGUGUCAGGUUACAGAGACUAGAUUGUUCCAAGUCGAUGUUGCUGGCGCUAAAACAUAUUAGUGCCAAGCUGGAUUUACUAGGAGGGAUGCAUGUGCAUAAAUUGUCUUUCAAGUUCAACUACAAGCAUGGCAAUAGCGUCCGCAAGACUACUAGUUCUAUGAAGAAUAGAACAACCAAUAGAAGGCAAAGCAUCGACACAAGUAAAGAAAUCUUGGAUAACUCCUUUUCCAAUA